rnacentral:rRNA from 1 species
AUUGAACGCUGGCGGCAUGCCUUACACAUGCAAGUCGAACGGCAGCGGACCUUCGGGUGCCGGCGAGUGGCGAACGGGUGAGUAAUAUAUCGGAACGUACCUUUCAGUGGGGGAUAACGUAGCGAAAGUUACGCUAAUACCGCAUAUUCUGUGAGCAGGAAAGCAGGGGAUCGCAAGACCUUGCGCUGAUUGAGCGGCCGAUAUCAGAUUAGCUAGUUGGUGAGGUAAAGGCUCACCAAGGCGACGAUCUGUAGCGGGUCUGAGAGGAUGAUCCGCCACACUGGAACUGAGGCACGGUCCAGACUCCUACGGGAGGCAGCAGUGGGGAAUUUUGGACAAGGGGGGCAACCCUGAUCCAGCCAUUCCGCGUGAGUGAAGAAGGCCUUCGGUUGUAAGACGUCUUCUAGUCAGGACGAAACGGUAGGUCCGUAACUACGG